UACGAAGGGGGCUAGCGUUGCUCGGAAUGACUGGGCGUAAAGGGCGCGUAGGCGGAUUGCUUUGUCAGACGUGAAAUUCCAGGGCUCAACCUUGGGGCUGCGUUUGAGACGGGUGAUCUUGAGUUCGGAAGAGGGUCGUGGAAUUCCCAGUGUAGAGGUGAAAUUCGUAGAUAUUGGGAAGAACACCGGUGGCGAAGGCGGCGACCUGGUCCAAGACUGACGCUGAGGCGCGAGAGCGUGGGGAGCAAACAGG
rnacentral:rRNA from 1 species